CCGCCCCGUUCCCGGCUGGCUGGGGAAGGGGCGUCCGGAGCCGCAGUGGCCCAGGAACAACUACAGCCCGUCGGGGACGAGAGAGAUGGGGGCGGGCGUUAGAAACGCGUUCUCCGCUGCGUGAGGCUGUGGCCUAGACCUCGGCGCGUUUCAUCUCCGGCGUACUCCUCGGGGAGAGCCGGGAGGUCCUCCUCACUCUGUGACCUACGCUGUGGCAGUUGGGAAAGGACCUGAGAAAGUGACAAAAGGCGAUGCUCCGGUCACAGCAGGGGCCCAGAAGGGCGCCCACAAGGGAUCUGAGCACGCCUGGCCCCUGGCUUCCCGAGGAGGGUUGCGCCUUAAGUGGGGUGCGAGGACCGGGCGGGCUCCGGGGCAACAAGGCCCCGCAGUCCCAGGGGUGCUCGCGGUGACCUGGUGGGGCUACUGGUGGGUCGGCCCCGCAGCCGUGAGCCAAGGAAACAGGGCCGGUGGCACUGACGCUCCUGUGAGAACCUAACUGCCACCUGAGGCGUCCAUGCGGGCCUGGCCAGGAGCGCCCUCGAGGAGCCCAGGCAGAUGAGGAAAUUGAAGCUUGUGCCAAACGAGGAAAGGAAUUCGGGUCAGGUCACACAGCUAGUAGAUCUCAGGGCUGGGCUUUGAAUGCACCCUGGCCUACACAGGAAGUUCAAGGCCAACGUGAGCUACUUACAGACCUUCAAAAAAACUAGAAAAUGUAAAAAUAAAG
rnacentral:lncRNA from 1 species